UCAUCCUCAUUUUUAUUUCCUUCCUUUUUUUUCCUUUAACUUUGUCUCUCCUUACAAAUUAUUCCUCAUUUUCCUCUUUCAUUCAGCUUCCACAUUUCUAACCCAACUCAGUUUUUUUGGAUUCUUGAGGAUAUUUCAUUCAGGAAAAAACUAUUUUAAAGAAAUUUUUAGUAGUAUUAGUGAUGGGGACAAAGUUCAUUCUUUUCAUUUUGUUGUUUAUAUUCUUGUUUUCCUCUGGUUUUGUUGCCUGUGGAGGAUUUUACAGUUUCCAAAAGCUGAAUUCUAGUGUUUCAGGUAUUGAAUUUCCUAACCAUCCAAGCUUUAAUGCUGUUUCUUCUUCAGCUGACUCAGAUUGCAACUAUGGAGUUUCUCAAAAAUCAAACACCCAUUCUAUAGCUCAAGAAGUAGACGGUGUUGAUGUAAAAAAUGGAGAAAAUGAAGAAGUUUCCAUUUUUGGAAACCAGAAAAAAGAAGCUGUAAAGUUUCAGUUAAGGCACAGAUCAGCUGGUAAAAAAAUUGAGGCUAAAGAUUCAGUCUUUGCGUCAAGAGCAAGGGAUUUAAGCAGAAUUCAGACACUCCAUACAAGAAUUGUUGAGAAGAAAAAUCAGGAUUACAAUUCAAGACUUGAGAAAAAUGAUAAUAAACAUAAGCCUGUGAUUGCUCCGGCAGCAGCCUCGCCGGAAUCUUAUGAACUUUCCGCUAAUGGCAACAUUGGAGUCAGGUGUGAGUCUUGGCUCUGGUGAGUAUUUUAUGGAUGUGUUUGUUGGUACACCACCUAAGCAUUUUUCUUUAAUUCUUGAUACUGGUAGUGAUCUUAAUUGGAUUCAAUGUGUUCCUUGUUAUGAUUGUUUUGAACAAAAUGGACCUCAUUAUAAUCCUAAAGACUCAACUUCAUUUAGAAAUAUAAGUUGUCAUGAUCCUAGGUGUAAAUUUGUUACAUCCCCUGAUCCUCCUCAGCUUUGUAAAUCUGAGAAUCAAACUUGUCCUUAUUACUAUUGGUAUGGUGAUAGUUCUAAUACUACUGGCGAUUUCGCGCUUGAAACGUUUACUGUUAACCUCACGACGACGAGUGGGAGUGAAUUUAGGAAGGUGGAAAAUGUGAUGUUUGGUUGUGGUCAUUGGAAUAGAGGAUUAUUUCAUGGUGCUGCUGGUUUGUUAGGAUUAGGGAGAGGGCCGCUUUCGUUUGCUUCUCAGCUUCAAUCUUUAUAUGGUCAUUCAUUUUCGUAUUGUCUUGUUGAUAGGAAUAGCAAUUCUAGUGUUAGUAGUAAAUUGAUUUUUGGUGAAGAUAAGGAACUUUUGAAACAUCUACAGUUGAAUUUUACUUCAUUGGUUGGAGGCAAAGAAGUGGAAACUUUCUACUAUGUGCAGAUAAAAUCUGUCAUAGUUGGAGGAGAGGUACUGAAUAUACCCGAGGAGACGUGGAAUUUGUCGCCAGAAGGUCUUGGUGGUACAAUCAUUGAUUCAGGUACCACAUUGAGUUAUUUCGCGGAUCCUGCUUAUGAGAUUAUAAAGGAGGCAUUCGUCAAUAAGGUUAAGGGCUAUCCUGUUGUACAAGACUUUCCUAUUCUGAAUCCGUGUUACAAUGUGUCUGGUGUGAAGAACGUGGAAUUUCCCUCGUUUGGAAUCGUGUUUGGUGAUGGAGCUGUAUGGAAUUUCCCCGUAGAGAACUACUUCAUCAAACUCGAACCAGAAGAUAUCGUUUGUUUGGCUGUUUUAGGGACUCCUCGAUCUGCUUUGUCGAUAAUUGGAAACUACCAACAGCAGAAUUUUCAUAUCUUAUAUGACACCAAAAGGUCCAGACUGGGAUAUGCACCAACAAGAUGUGCUGAUGCUUGAAAUUUUAUGUACAGUAUUCUUGGAGUAGAAGGUGGGAAAAUUGUGUUCAUUAUUUCAUGAACUUAGAAACAGUUCAUAUACAUUGUAGGUUAUACAUUAUUUUUUUUCCCCUUAAUUUUUUAACUGUAGAUGAUUUUAUGUUAUUUGACAGAAACUGGCAACUAUGUAAGAAAGUUGUAAUAGCAGCUUUUCUCACAUUUUGAAAGUCUGAAUCAUUGCUUUUGAAAGUUCAGUUCAUUCUUAA